UACGGAGGGUGCGAGCGUUGUCCGGAAUCACUGGGCGUAAAGGGCGCGUAGGCGGCUCAUGAAGGCUGUGGUGAAAGUCCGGGGCUCAACCUCGGAUCGGCCGUGGCGACUCGUGGGCUGGAGCACUGUAGAGGCGGGUGGAAUUCCGGGUGUAGCGGUGGAAUGCGUAGAGAUCGGGAGGAACACCUGUGGCGAAGGCGGCCCCCUGGGCCGGCCCUGACACUGAGACGCGAAGGCGUGGGGAGCGAACGGG
rnacentral:rRNA from 1 species